CUCUCUCUUCCAGUUCAUUCCAAGUCUGUGAUCAGUUUAUUUCAAGUCUUUGAUUAUUGGAUAUUAAAUCUUUCUCUCUUUCUGCAAAUUCAACAAUGGAGUAGUCUGAUUCCUAGCCUGAUGUAGCCAAGCAGAGUGGUGAGGUUUCACAAUCUGUUUCUGGGUCAAUAUUUGCAAGAAAACUAUGGACAGCCCAAUCUUUUUAAUAGGAAGCCAAAACUUUUGGCUUCAGUUUGACCGGAGCAUCCUCAAGAUCUUGCAAAAAUGUCCUAAACACACUUAUGCAGAAGAUUCCUAAAUUUUAUGAGUCUGAUACUAUGUAAAGGCUUUGAUAUUCCUCUGGAAUGAAGUACUACGUCUGCUGUAAAAGCAUCUACAAGAUGUAAGUAUGGAUUUAACUUUUCUAAAGGUUGUCUUUAAAGGGUUUCUUCAAUCUUUCCUCUUUUUAGGAUUUGACUCUUGUAUAUUUUGUCUCUAUAAAGAUGCCAAAUCUUGAUUCUACAAGAGGCAACAAACACGUUUUGUGACACUGGAAGGCUUGGAUUUCCAAAUUUUAUGAGGUUGAACAGAACUUUAGGCCACUGAUUACUAUAAGCAAAAGGCAGAGGAUUUCCUUUGGAAUGAAGAAACACCACUUCUACUUGCUAAACAGCACUUAGGCUUGUUUUCCAAAGUGAAGAAUUGAUUACUACAGCCAACCAAUGCAAGUAUAAAGUUGCAAAAGUUGCUGCUCAGCUAGAAUAGCAGGAAAUUGCCAAAUUGUAGGAGUACAUUGAGCAGGGUAUUAAUUACUUUGAAAAGGCGGUAGAUUUCUUCCACAGCCUACCAAUGCAAAGUCCAAGUAGAAUGUUGUGCAAUUUAUGAGCUUCAAAUUCUUGGUGCUUUCAUUCCUAUUCCUUGUAUACAUCUUUGUACCUAUAUUUGUACUUAGCAAAGCUCACUUUGAAGAGGUAUUUUUGCUUUUUAUCUUGUAAAAGAGAAAAGGUUCUACCUAAGCCUUUAAAAGGUAGUGUUUAGAGGUUAUACCAAAUUCUUAAAAAGGUAUAAAGGUUCUAACUUAACCUUGAAAAGUUAAAGAAGUUGUGUCUUAUCCUUGAAAAGACAAGUUUUGUGCUUAAACCUUUAAAAAGGCACAUUGUAUUAAAUUUAUUCAAUAGUGGAUUAAACACCUUAGCUUGCUAAGUGAG
rnacentral:sRNA from 10 species